rnacentral:lncRNA from 1 species
GCUGUGAGCAGCUGUGCCCUCAGCCUCGUCUUCCUGCAGGGCUGACAAUGGUGCACUGGAGUCACAGUAAGUGUGGGCCCCGAGCCCACUCCGCCUGUGGGGCCACAGACAGCCCCCAACAGCUUCUGAAGUGGAAAUGCCUCGUCCCCCCACCCACCUCCCCCAGAGCCCUGCGCCCGAGCUGCGGCCGGCAGGCCCAAGCCACCCACCCAGGACAGUGAGCCUCGCGGAGGCGACAGCAUCGUGAGCAGCAAAGGUGACCUCGCCAGCGUGGUGCGGCUGAGCCCGGUGCAGCAGCAGGGCGUGGNNNNNNNNNNNNNNNNNNNNNNNNNNNNNNNNNNNNNNNNNNNNCCCAGCCCUCUCCGCCCCGGGGCCCCGUCCCGCUAGGGGUGCAGCUGAAGCUGGCCUGCCCCCCGGCGCGCACGGUCACAUCCUGGGGUGCCUCCAAGACCUCUAGACGCCAGCCUGUGGGGCAGGGUAGGGUGGCAGUGUGAGCACAGGGCUGGGGGGACCUGGGGGCACUCAGAGACACCUAUGUCACCCCUGGCCCACAGCCCCAGAGCAGAGGAGGGCGCCUAGCCUCCCGCUCCUCCCACCUCUGGGAGCCGCAGCUGCACGUGUACUCCCCCGUGUCCUCCCGGCGCAAGCCCCUCAGCACCAGCUCUGCCACGUGGCCCUGCUGCCGCGGCUCCCGGCGCCCAUCGGCCUGCACCUCCAGGCCCCCCUUACUCCAGACGACGGUGGCCCCAGGCUCGGAGAGCUCACACUGCAGGAUGGCCGAGGUACCCUCCUCAGCCUGCAGGCUCUGCAGCGGCUUCCGGAACACCACCUGUGGGGCUGUGGAGUGGGGAUGGGGUGGAGGGGAGAGGGAAGGUCAGCCCCAAGCCUGAGGCCCAGUCACCCAGAGAGGAGACUGGCACCCCAAAUCCAGUCAGACCCACUGAGGGCCUUGGCCAGGCCUGCCUCACCCGCCCACAGGGCCCACUGCCUCAGGCUCCUCUGGACGAUCGGGGUGGGAGUGGGGUCACGGGCCAGGGUCUACUCUAAGGGAGAGGAGGGGCUGCAGUGGGGGCCGUGAAAGGGACCCAGGGGGUUCUCAUGCCGACCUCCACCCAGGAAGCCCACAGGCAGGUCUGUGUCCCUCCAGCCAUUGAGGUGGGAAAGGGGGGACCUGCUAAGCCCCCAGGGCAGGGCCACGCCCCCCAGAUACUGACUAGAGGCUGUGGAGCAUGGGGGAACGUGGACUGCAUUAGGACAGGCAGGGGGCGGGCACGAGGUGGGAAUUCCAUCACACAUGAGGGUGAGCCGGGGAGGCCAUCCGACUGGAGAGCACAACCCAGGCAGGGGACACUGAACAGAGAGUUUGGCAGGUGAGCAGGUGGGCGACAGACAGAAGCUGCACACGACACAGAGGAGACGGCUGCCCACGCGAGGCUGGCAUGGGCACAGGAGUCGGGCACACACACAGGCUCCCAGACGAGCCCGCAAGCCCAUCCUCACCCGUGACUGC